GACGAACGCUGGCGGCGUGCUUAACACAUGCAAGUCGAACGGAAAGAGAUGAAAGAGCUUGCUCUUUUAUUAAUUUCAGUGGCAAACGGGUGAGUAACACGUAAACAACCUGCCUUAAGGAUGGGGAUAACAGACGGAAACGACUGCUAAUACCGAAUACGUUCUAAGCAUCGCAUGGUGCAUAGAAGAAAGGGUGGCCUCUACAAGAAAGCUAUCGCCUUAAGAGGGGUUUGCGACUGAUUAGGUAGUUGGUGAGGUAACGGCUCACCAAGCCGACGAUCAGUAGCCGGUCUGAGAGGAUGAACGGCCACACUGGAACUGAGACACGGUCCAGACUCCUACGGGAGGCAGCAGUGGGGAAUCUUCCGCAAUGGACGAAAGUCUGACGGAGCAACGCCGCGUGAACGAAGAAGGUCUUCGGAUUGUAAAGUUCUGUGAUUCGGGACGAAAGGGUUUGUGGUGAAUAAUCAUAGACAUUGACGGUACCGAAAAAGCAAGCCACAGCUAACUACGUGCCAGCAGCCGCGGUAAUACGUAGGUGGCAAGCGUUGUCCGGAAUUAUUGGGCGUAAAGCGCGCGCAGGCGGUUUCUUAAGUCCAUCUUAAAAGCGUGGGGCUCAACCCCAUGAGGGGAUGGAAACUGGGAAGCUGGAGUAUCGGAGAGGAAAGUGGAAUUCCUAGUGUAGCGGUGAAAUGCGUAGAGAUUAGGAAGAACACCGGUGGCGAAGGCGACUUUCCAGACGAAAACUGACGCUGAGGCGCGAAAGCGUGGGGAGCAAACAGG
rnacentral:rRNA from 1 species